UGUGCUGGGGGGAUGGGGUCGUGUUGAGGAUGAGAGACUCCAAAUAUUUAUCUCUUGGCUAACUAAAUAUCCAUAUUUCUAAGCCGUGGGUCAUUCCUUGCUGUUGGACGUACGAACAUCGCUUCGGCUUCGUAUGAAGCUCGGUGGAGUUUGCCCUCUGUAAAGUGGACUAUCCCGCACGUCCACGAUACGCUGAAAAAGUCGACAAAAUGUAUUCUGCUGGAGCUACAGAAGUUCCAGAGGGACCCCGUUCCUCCGGGUCAAUGAGCUCUGACCCACCUUCCCCGUUGCCAGAAUAUGUGUUCAAGCCGCCACUGAGGCCAGACUUUGGCACCAUGGGUCGGGCAAUCAAGCUCCAGGCCAACUUUUUUGAAAUGGAAAUUCCCAGAUUGGAGGUCUAUCACUAUGAUAUUGACAUCAAGCCUGAGAAAUGCCCCCGGAGGGUUAAUCGGGAAAUUGUGGAGCACAUGGUCCAGCACUUUAAAACUCAGAUCUUUGGCGAUCGAAAGCCGGUGUACGAUGGAAGAAAGAACCUCUACACUGCCAUGCCUUUGCCCAUAGGCCGAGACAAAGUGGAGCUUGAAGUAACUAUUCCAGGCGAAGGUAAAGACCGCAGCUUUAAAGUGGCCAUCAAAUGGGUGUCUUGCGUUAGUCUACAAGCUCUACACGAGGCUCUAUCCGGACGGCUACCAAGCGUUCCCUUUGAAACUAUUCAAGCUUUGGAUGUGGUCAUGCGGCAUUUACCUUCCAUGAGGUAUACCCCAGUGGGUCGCUCUUUCUUCACUCCUUCAGAGGGAUGCUCCAACCCUCUCGGUGGCGGCAGGGAGGUGUGGUUUGGUUUCCAUCAGUCCGUCAGACCUUCUCUCUGGAAAAUGAUGCUCAACAUUGAUGUUUCAGCCACUGCGUUCUACAAGGCUCAGCCUGUAAUUGAAUUCAUGUGCGAAGUUCUGGAUUUUAAAAGCAUCGAGGAGCAGCAGAAGCCUUUAACAGACUCUCAGCGAGUGAAAUUUACAAAAGAAAUCAAAGGCCUCAAGGUCGAGAUAACUCACUGUGGGCAGAUGAAGAGAAAAUACAGAGUUUGCAAUGUGACCAGAAGACCAGCCAGCCACCAGACGUUCCCCUUGCAGCAGGAGAAUGGCCAAACUAUUGAAUGCACAGUAGCACAGUACUUCAAAGACAAGUACAAACUCAUCCUGCGAUACCCUCACCUCCCAUGUUUACAAGUGGGACAGGAGCAAAAGCAUACCUACCUCCCACUAGAGGUGUGUAACAUAGUGGCAGGACAGCGCUGCAUCAAAAAGCUGACCGACAAUCAGACCUCCACAAUGAUCCGUGCCACAGCCAGAUCGGCACCAGACCGGCAAGACGAAAUUAGUAAACUGAUGCGAAGUGCCAACUUCAACACUGACCCUUAUGUUCGUGAAUUUGGAGUCAUGGUGAGGGAUGAAAUGACAGAAGUGAACGGCCGCGUCUUGCAAGCACCUUCAAUACUUUAUGGCGGCAGGAACAAAGCAAUAGCAACACCAAUCCAGGGAGUGUGGGACAUGAGGAACAAACAGUUCCACACUGGCAUUGAGAUCAAAGUGUGGGCCAUCGCCUGCUUCGCACCGCAGAGGCAGUGCACUGAACUUCUGCUCAAAGCUUUCACUGACCAGCUGAGGAAGAUCUCUCGAGAUGCAGGGAUGCCCAUCCAGGGUCAGCCUUGCUUCUGCAAGUACGCCCAGGGGGCGGACAGCGUGGAGCCCAUGUUCAGGCACCUCAAAUACACCUACCAGGGCCUGCAGCUGGUGGUGGUCAUCCUCCCUGGAAAGACGCCAGUUUAUGCUGAAGUGAAGCGAGUUGGCGACACUGUGCUCGGAAUGGCCACGCAAUGCGUCCAGGUGAAAAAUGUCCAAAAGACAACACCUCAGACUCUCUCCAACCUCUGUCUGAAGAUCAACGUCAAGCUGGGUGGAGUCAACAACAUCCUGCUGCCGCAGGGCAGGCCGUUGGUGUUCCAGCAGCCAGUGAUCUUUCUCGGUUCGGACGUGACUCAUCCACCAGCAGGAGAUGGAAAGAAACCUUCCAUUGCUGCCGUGGUCGGCAGCAUGGACGCCCACCCCAGCCGAUACUGCGCCACUGUGCGGGUGCAGCAGCACCGUCAGGACAUCAUCCAGGACCUGGCCAACAUGGUGCGGGAGCUGCUCAUCCAAUUCUACAAGUCCACUCGCUUCAAGCCCACCAGAAUCAUCUACUAUCGAGACGGCAUCUCCGAGGGCCAGUUUAGCCAGGUCCUUCAGCAUGAGCUCCUGGCAAUCCGCGAGGCUUGCAUCAAACUAGAAAAGGAUUACCAACCUGGCAUUACCUUCGUGGUUGUACAGAAGAGACACCACACGAGGCUGUUCUGCGUGGACAGAAACGAAAGGGUCGGAAAGAGUGGCAACAUUCCCGCGGGGACUACAGUGGACACCAAAAUCACCCACCCAUCAGAGUUUGACUUCUACCUUUGCAGUCAUGCAGGCAUUCAGGGAACUAGCAGACCGUCUCACUACCACGUGCUCUGGGAUGACAACCACUUCUCGUCGGAUGAACUGCAGGUCCUUACCUACCAGCUCUGCCAUACGUACGUGCGCUGCACCCGCUCCGUGUCCAUCCCAGCACCAGCCUACUACGCCCAUCUGGUGGCUUUCCGGGCGCGCUAUCACUUGGUGGACAAAGAGCACGACAGUGCUGAGGGCAGUCAUACAUCGGGCCAGAGCAAUGGGAGGGAUCACCAGGCCUUGGCCAAGGCUGUUCAGAUCCACCAGGACACCCUGCGCACCAUGUACUUCGCCUGAAAGUACAGCGCCCUGACGGGCUGGGGAACCGCGAUGUGGGCGACCACCCUUCCCCCAGUAAGACCAAAACAAAUUACAGAAUGCUCCGGAGAGCAACAGAUCCCACUGGUGUGAAGGGAAAGUGAUAUCUUCAGCUGUGGAUUCAUACUUGCUUGAGGUGUGUGUCUUUUUUUUUGUUGUUGUUGUUUGUAUUGGAAACGGAAAUCCCAUUAUGUUGCAUUUGCAGUUAGGUUUCCAGCUUUGCUUCAACUCCCAGCCUGAUAAUCCUGCCUCGUGUGGACUUGUUCUUGUAAAGUCUUUUCUGAUUUUGAAUGAAGCAUGCGGUUUUUAUUUUAUGUUUGUCAGCAUAUAGUUGCUAGAACCUGUUUUUUUUUUUUGUUUGUUUGUUUUGUUUUGUUUUUGGGGUUUUUUUGCAUGUAAGUAAUGAACCAAUUUGCAGAACGCUCAGCCGGCUUCCCCAGGCGUAAUUCUCCUGUUCCUGUUUGUAUAUAAAUCCUCUGAAGAGUAAUAAUGUCUCUGGCAGUUAUUGAAACCAUGUCCACCCUGUUACCUGUAGCCAUGUGACAGCAAUGCAAUGUGCACAAGUUCUUGUUUAUUACAGCACAAGCGUAUCUAGCAGCCGGGCCUAGCGUUGCUACUUAUCUUCACAUGAUGGUUUUUUUUUUUGUUUGUUUGUUUGUUUUUUGGUCUUGAGAUUCCCUGUUUGGCAAAAGGUUUUUAUUUCCAAUUCUAAAGAUCUCUACAAAUGUUUGAAUAUCUUCAGAUCUAUUUCCGUGGCUAAAAAGCCUCCAGGAUGGUUGAUUAAAGGUUCCCCUCCCGAAACAUGAAUCCUGCCCCACAUAUUGAGCAUCGUCUCAUGUGCUCCACUCCCACUCGUCAGCUUAAAGAUCCGAAUUUACAUCUGUACUCUCCUAGAGAUAACCCAGCAUUUGAAUGGUAAUUAAGAACGUCAGCAGAGUUUUCUAAUCGUCAUGCAGGUCGUUUAAAACUCGUCGGGGGGCAGAGGUGACGCCGCGACCCGACUGCAUCUGCUGCUCCUUUCAGUGUAAACGUCCUUUGUCCUUUAAACGACGCGUCUAGCGAGAGCCGUUGGGAAAUCUCCAACUGAAUGCAUCAUCCUGAUCUACUCAACACCCACUCCUGCCAGGAGUUUCAGUAGUUUCACAUCUCGACAAUGACUUUUCAGUUCAGUUUUUUUUUUUUUUUCUUCUUAAUCCACCAGCUUGUAAAGAACUACCUCAGAGCAGCGUCUGGUGCUUGCUACUAUCAUCCCGUUUGUUUAUUAGAAAGGCGCCGGAGUGAAAUCUUGUAGUGACCAAACCAAUAAAAGCCGAUAUCGUGUGAGAGAACUUUUAAUGUUGCUAUGCUUUUUUUUUUUUUUUUUUUUAGGGGACCAAAUUUAUUUAUUUUUUCAAUUUUUUUCUCUAACCAAUCCAGAGUCGGAGAAGCCAGCGUUAGCUGUCGGAUUCCUCCUUGUGUGAUUCACAAAGCAUAAUCAUAACUGGAUCUUUCACAUGUGCCAUUGUGAUUCCGAUUUGCUUGGCGACGAUUUUUGGAUUCUUUACGUCAGCAAAGUUGUUGCGAGGCGCAGUUGCGGUGAUUCUCCGUUGCCGUGUGGGUUGUUGGUACGUUGGCCUUUUGUUCAGGUGUGACCAGUCUGUUUGCAGCAGCACUACAUGGAGCCACGUCUUUUUAGUUGGAUUUCCGAGCAGCUUGAUUCCAUUUGUGGUUUUACCAGAAAGCCAAAACAUUGUGGUUUGACACAUUUUCCGGCAAUUAAAUACAGACUCUUUAAUUUCUGCCUUUCCUACUCGCUGCACUCGGCGUCCCUCGCUCCCAUUUGCUCGUUAAAGGGAAGAAACACGUUUCAAUCUGACUGACCGGCGUAUCAAAUCAUUCGACCAAAGGUACAUAUGAGCUGCUGUGUCACUUUACACAUCAAGUCCAAGCUGUAGACAUUCAGCAUGUUCCCAGUCGUUUUCUUUUUUGUAGAUGUGCCUUUUGUCGAAUUUGUUUUUCCUUCUCCAUCUGCUCCAGCGUUAGGUUUUGACCUCCAUCUCAUUGUUUAUUAAAAAACAAGAAUAAAAUCCAACACGUUCUCUCCUGUUUUCAAUAACCGUGAGUGUAGAUGCUGCAUAGAACGAUCAGUAUUUGUGUUUUUUGCACUUUUUGAAAGCAGUCUCU